ensembl:lncRNA
UCACUCCCUCCCACCUACAACUCCUGCUAGCACCGAGACUCAAACCUGUGACCUUCAGGUUACAAGUCCAACUCUCUAACCAUGUAGCGAAUACAGGAAGCUAUCGAUCAAGAAGGUUGGUACUUAUAUGGUGCACUGCCUCAACAACGAGACAAGCCAGGAUCUACAUGUCUUGGUGCUUGGAGACAAAGAAAAUUCUUCCCAAGUUUUCUUAAGUUAAAAAUGGAGAGGCAGUUGAAAAGAAGAACUUACUUCAACCAGUGAAUGAAUGCUUCAAAAUGUUCUACAUCUAUGACAUAAACUACCCAAAGCCCUCUGCUCCCAUUUGGGAGUUCUUGUAUCAUGCAGUCUAUAAUAUUCCUGGAGGAGUUCCUUCUACACAUUGCUGCCUCCUAAAAAACUUUGUAUUCCGUGUUACUGGUCAUCAGUACAUCCAGUAGCCAAAACACAGGGUUAGUUCACCCAAAAAAUGAAAAUUCUGUCAUUAAUUACUCACCCUCAUGUUGUUCCAAACCUGUAAAGCCUGGCUCACACUACAUUAUUUUUAGCCCGAUUUAGCCCCGAUUUCCCCCUCCCGAGAAUUGGAGCAAACAUCUUGUCGAGCACCUCGAUCUGUCCCGAUGUUCGGCGCGGAUUAUUUGGUAGUGUGAGGCGUUCACCGAUCAAAUCUUGCACCUCCCGAUCUGCUCGCACACAAAUCGGGGCAGCCCCGAUUAUUGUUAAACAUGUUUGAUAUUUAGGAUUUAAAUCGGGAUGAUAAUGGCUAUAUGAUGACGUCAGUACUUUCACAGCCAAUGCGCAAAACCGCAAAACAGAUGAUGUACGGCUUGGUUGGAUAGUUUUGUAGUAAAACGACUGUCUGUAUAAUGUGUCGAAAACGCAUCACAACCGUAAGGAGAAAGAGAAGUGCUGGAGUGAAAUCACCUCAGUUUUGAAUGCACCGGGGGAGUGCAGUAAGCUACUAGCACGCAAAAAAAAGUGACGAUCUGCUGUGUGAGAUCAUGUGAGACACUCCCUCUAGCAUGAUAAUCUUAAUUAUAUCUUGCAGUGUGUGAUGAGCCACGAUGUUCAAAUCUUGUAGUGUGUGCAUGUUUAAUAUUUGAGGGAAGAUAAUCUGCAAUAAUCUCCUUAUGUGUGUGCUGCAACCAGAUUUCAAAAUCGGUUAUGAUUUUAAAACUCCUGUAGUGUGAGCUCGGCUGAAGACCUCCGUUUAUCUGCGGAACACAAAUCAAGAUAUAUUUUUGAUGCAUUCGUACAGCUCUCUGACCCUCCAUAGACAGCAAGGGUACUAUGAUCAACUUGCCCAUGAGUUGUGCUGGACCCUGAGCCGCUGAAGCUGUCCUGAGGCACUAGAGAGGAAAAGGAGGGGUUCCAUUCUCGCCUCAGCUGGAACGCCCCAAAAAACAACUUGCUUUCACUCCUCACCUCUUCGAACACCUCUGAGAGACGGAGUCUCAUUUUCAGCGGGUCAUGUCCUGCAGGGGAAGCACGUACCCGAUUUUACUGCUGGGGGCAGGAACAACUUUCUUUCUUUCAACUUUACCUAAAUUUCUGAAGGGCGCGAGGAGACUGAAUCCACCUCGCCCUCAGACAAUGCCGUGUUGGGACUUAUCCAUGGUCCUGAGGACCCUGAAAAGGCCCCUGUUUGAGCCGCUCAGUUCAGCUGACUUGUGGCCCUUAUCGCUUAAAACGGCCCUUCUCCAUGCUUUGGCGUUGGUUAAGCAAGUGGGUGACUUGCAAGCGCUGUCAAUGAUAAUUUUCACUACAAAUUUAUGUUUAACUUUAUACUUUACACCAUAUAUAUUAAAAUUAAUCUAAAACUCUGAUGAUAGAUUUCUUUCCAGUUGGCAAUUCAUCCUAAAGGUACUGUUUUGUGA